UGAGAGAUAAUAAUUUAGAUGGGUGGAUAGUCUAUGAAAAUGUUGUUGCUCAGAAAAAAAAGAAAAAAAGACAGAAAGCCAGCAGUUCAGAAAUUGCAGACUGUACAAAAACCACUUGGUAAGACCCUGUCUGACAGGGAACCAAUUCUCUCGAAACAAAAAAGACCAAUUUCCCAAAAGAAUUUCUGAAGAUAAGUUUAGAAGCCCAAUUAAUAAACUCAGAUUUCUUUGGAUGCACUUCUUUCUGAAAGCAGAUUCUGUUCAAACACAAUGGGUUAUCAAACAGGUUGCAGUAGGGGUGGCGGUCGUAUGUGGGAUAGCUGUGGCAGCGGCAGCAGCGGUGGUGGUCCAUCGGAAAAUGAAGAAGUCAGGGAGGUGGGUCAAAGCAAUGGAGAUAAUGAAAGACUUUGAAGAAAAGUGUGGGACCCCGAUUGGGAAGCUGAGACAAGUGGCUGAUGCCAUGACUGUAGAGAUGCAUGCUGGCCUUGCCUCUGAAGGUGGCAGCAAACUCAAGAUGCUCAUCAGCUAUGUUUACAAUUUGCCUUCUGGGAAUGAGAAGGGAUUAUUUUAUGCAUUGGACCUUGGUGGAACUAACUUCCGUGUGUUACGAGUGCAAUUGGGAGGUAAGGAUAGUGGUAUUGUCAAUCAACAGUUUGAGGAGGUGUCUAUUCCUCCGAAUUUGAUGACAGGGACUUCAAAUGCACUAUUUGACUAUAUUGCAGCAGAACUUGCAAAAUUUGUAGCUCAAGAAGGCAUGGAUUUUCAACUAACUCCCGGUAGACAGAGGGAGCUUGGUUUUACCUUCUCAUUCCCUGUGAUGCAAACAUCUAUUGCUUCUGGAACCCUUCUUAGGUGGACAAAAGGCUUCUCUAUAGAUGACACAGUUGGCCAAGAUGUGGUAGCAGAAUUGACCAAAGCCAUGGAAAGACAAGGCCUUGACAUGCGUGUUUCAGCUUUGGUCAAUGACACUGUUGGAACACUAGCUGGAGGUCGAUACACCAACAAUGAUGUUGUUGCUGCUGUGAUCCUUGGUACUGGGUCGAAUGCAGCAUAUGUUGAACGUGCACAUGCAAUACCAAAAUGGCAUGGUCUACUACCCAAAUCAGGAGAGAUGGUUAUCAAUAUGGAGUGGGGUAACUUUAGAUCAUCACAUCUUCCAUUGACAGAGUAUGACCAUGCACUAGAUGCUGAGAGUUUAAACCCUGGUGAACAGAUUUAUGAGAAGGUAAUAUCUGGUAUGUAUUUGGGAGAAAUUGUUCGCAGAGUCCUGUGUAGGAUGGCUGAGGAAGCUGCAUUUUUUGGUGACACUGUUCCACCAAAACUUAAAGUGCCGUUUGUAUUGAGGACACCUGUUAUGUCAGCAAUGCAUCAGGACACUUCCCCUGACCUCAAAGUGGUAGCCAAUAAAUUGAAAGAUAUUCUUGAGAUAUCAAACACCUCCAUGAAGAUGAGAAAAGUAAUUUUUGAGAUUUGCAACAUCGUUGCCACACGAGGGGCACGUCUUUCAGCUGCUGGAAUACUAGGUAUUCUGAAGAAAAUGGGAAGAGAUACAAUCAAGGAAGGAGAGAAACAAAGAACAGUAAUAGCUAUGGAUGGUGGACUAUACGAGCACUAUAUGGAAUACCGCAAGUGCUUGGAGAACAGCCUAAACGAAUUACUUGGAGAAGAGGUAUCUGAAACCAUUGUAGUUGAGCAUUCAAAUGAUGGUUCUGGCAUCGGAGCUGCUCUUCUUGCUGCUUCCCAUUCACAGUAUCUCGAAACGGAUGAGUCCUGAGAGCAGUAAGAACUGGUUCUGCCAUUCUUUUGAAGUUAUUUGUGAGAAAUCUUUGACAAAAUUUUUUACCUGGGGGAUUAGCAUUUUAUUCCUUUCUCAGUUAAUUACUUUCAAUGCAUUCCCUGUAAAAUCUUAAAUAAUUGCUUGCAGAGUACGCGAUAAGGUUCAUAAACUGUAUAAAAGCAGGACCUGGAAGCGAGAACUCUUCCGCUUCGGCCUGCGAUUCAAUUCAUCAUUUUUCUUUCCUUCUGGUAGUUACCAGCGGUCACUGCUUAGACGUGAAAAUAAUGCUAACCCUUGUCUCUAUCACACAUUUGGUUCACAGAUGACUUGAUUAUCUUCUAUAUGAUUGUUAACAAUUUAUCAUACAACAUCCAUGGUUUGAGUUUCUGCAUCCAAGUUUCCUUGGGAUUGAAAAUACUGCUACAAGGCAUGAAUAUGAUUGUGAAGCUUUUUCAGCUGACACAACUUAAAAAGUCAAAUAAGGAGGUUCUAAGUUUUGGAACAAGAAUCAAACAUGCAUGAGUAGUGUCACCUGCUUGACGUUGUGAAAUCAUUGCAUUUCUCAAAAAUUCUUGUUAUACAAAAUUCUAAUUCAAAUGUACUUUAGUGGAGUAGACUUUUGUGACACAAAACGACACCGCCCUGUCUAGGGCUGUAAGUAGUUGGGUGUCUACAUUCAUAUUGUCAGACAGUGACAGUGGUCCGUCCGACAAAGAUAGAAUAAGAAGCAACCUUGGAAUGAUAUCUAUUUGAAAACUAGAACCCAAAAAAAAAAAAAAAAGCAAAAUGAAAAUAUUGUCUACACUUUUAUUUCUCUUCAAAUCAUUGGCAUGGGUGUCCUGAUAUGCUUCUCUUCUAAUCCCCCACUUU